rnacentral:rRNA from 1 species
GUGGGGAAUCUUAGACAAUGGGGGCAACCCUGAUCUAGCCAUGCCGCGUGAGUGAUGAAGGCCUUAGGGUCGUAAAGCUCUUUCGCCGGGGAAGAUAAUGACUGUACCCGGUAAAGAAACCCCGGCUAACUCCGUGCCAGCAGCCGCGGUAAUACGGAGGGGGUUAGCGUUGUUCGGAAUUACUGGGCGUAAAGCGCGCGUAGGCGGAUCGGAAAGUUGGGGGUGAAAUCCCGGGGCUCAACCCCGGAAUUGCCUUCAAAACUCCCGGUAUUGAGGUCGAGAGAGGUGAGUGGAAUUCCGAGUGUAGAGGUGAAAUUCGUAGAUAUUCGGAGGAACACCAGUGGCGAAGGCGGCUCACUGGCUCGAUACUGACGCUGAGGUGCGAAAGCGUGGGGAGCAAACAGGAUUAGAAACCCUGGUAGUCC